ACAUCAAAAUAUAAAUUUAUAUAAAAACGUUUCACAAUUUUUAUUUUAUAUACACAAAAAAACAUUUAUACAAAUAAUACUCAGUGACAAUUUUCACCCUCAUUGUUGAACCCGUUCAAAAAAAGUUUUUGCAUAAAAAUGUGUCAUUUGUUUAUAACAAUAAUAUAAAUUAAUGCACACAUCGCGUGCAUCAAAAACGUGUACUGAUCGUCAAAUAUACAAAAUUAUAACCUGUGUAGUUGAAAAUUCAACCAAAAUUCCCUUGGUGAAUAAUUAUAAAGAAGCCGGAUUUCGUAUUUAUAUUAAUAUUAGUAUGAUUCAGAAAACUAGUUUGAGUCAAAAUAACAAACAUCCACAAUAAAAAAAACAUUAAUACGCAGCAGACAAAUUUUUUUAAAACUUGCAUCUUUUAAUCUUAAAUCAAAUAAAAGCUUAAGCAAUGUUCUUUGAAUUAAAAAAAGAAAACAACUGAUGACUUUUUUAAUGAGUUAUUGGCCGCCAAAAUCAAAAAUCCCACGUAAAUAUUAUAACAAUAUAUAACUAGAUAAACAAGCAUAAUGCUUUACGAAAAAAGUUUAAUAAACUAAUAAUAAUUAGUAAAUCCAGAUCACAUAUGGUUAUGUGUGACCAACUCAGCCAUCAAAAAAUAAUUUUAAAGGAUAUUUUUAGACUGUGACAUAUAGAUGUGUUACUUUGAUAAAACUAGGGUCAAUCAUAAUGUAUAACUUUAUAUUUAUCUUAAUUUAAGUUUUUUAUGUCGAAAGCAAGAUUAAUAGUUAAAACUAUAAGUCAUUAAUCCUUUCAAACCUUUGGUACUUAUUUUUAUUGUAUUUCUUUUUUUUAUUUGCAAUUGUAGUUUUG